AUUAGUUCGUAUUUCAUGCAUAGCAUAUCUUGAGUUAAUACGAAAAUAAGAUCUCCGGUAACUAGAAACAACCAAGAGAAGCUUUGCUUGAGCCUCCAAUGAUAUAUUGUACAUGAACUGCUUUCCAAUCUCUAUUGCCAAUAUGUUAAUAUACAAUAAAAAACCAGAUACAGUUCACUGUGAUUAAAGCUUUCUAUGCAAAUCCAGGGUUAUCUGAGAUUUGGGUCUUGCUUGGUGAUAGUUCUUCGGGUUUACCGGGAUUCCUUCAAAGAGAGAUGGGGGACCAGAAAAAAAAAAUAAACAUAGCAGAUCAUAUUCUACGCAGAGGACUGAGCAAUUAAAGAUACCUAUCCUACUUCAUGGGAGAAGAUGCAAACUUGAGAGUAAAAAUGAAAGAAGAUGAGUUACUUCAAGAAUCAACCUCUACACUGGACAAAAAAAAGUUGCAAAGAAGGAAACAAAGAUGGAGAAGACAAUGUUUCAAGCAGUUCAGCUGUCACUAUUAUGUACAAGAUCCUGCCAAAUUUGAUUUUUAUAGAGCCAACCUCCACCUCUUGCCUUAUUAAGUAGAAGAACAAGAAUGCUUUAAAUGUAGACUAGCAGCAGUUAGCAGUUAUUAAAAGCAUGAAAAUUUGCAAGAAGAUAGAUAGAACAACAAAUCCAGAAAUGUUAGCAAUCUUGCUAAGUGAUUUUGUAGCUAAUAAGCCUUCUUCAGAAAGUUCAUUGGCAAAAUGAAGCAAAUUCAACAAAUUUAAUGGAAAACUUCUAAAUUGAUUUUCCUAGCUACAUUAGUAAAUAAUUAGGAUAGAGUACAUGGUGAUUUUAUAAGCAAAGUUUAACUCAACGAUGGUGUGAUUCAAAGUUGAAACUAAAUAAACUAGUAACCAAAGGAAACAUCAAUCAGAUAGAUAUACUAGAUAGAAGAAUCUAUGUAAUCAGAAUUUGUGAUGAAACAUCCUAGAAUCCAUUAAUAUGCAUUACAUGAACUGAUGAACAACAAAGAUCAGAUAGGAAGACAGAACUCAAGAUUGGAGAAAAUCUAAACCCCACCCAUAAAUAUCCGCAGAAUCUAUUAUAUCCUCUUUGAUGUAUAUAGCAUCUCUUAGUUAAACAACAACAACAAGUAAGUCUUAAUCCCAACCUAGUUGGGGUCGACUACAUGAUCCUUUUUCGAGAUUUAGUCUAUCAUCUCUUAGUUAAAGAAGAAAAAAUUUAACUCCAAUCUUGAAUCUUAUACCUGUCAACUUCAUUAUUCUUAUUUUUACAACCUGAUUGCCCAUGUAUACCUGUAGCUGCAAAAUUCAUGGGUAUCAGAAUCAGUUUAGUUACUGCUAUACAUCAACUUCUCCUGCAUUUUGCAGCCUACCGGUUCAACUAUGGCUCUCCGAUUCGUCAUCAUCUUCCACUUCUAUGCUGUUGCCUCCAGUACUAGAGAUAUCUUUGGCAGAUCCAGAUCCAUGGAAGGGUCCUUUAGGAGAAUUAGACUCUGAAAUAGUUGAUUUUGAUGGAUCUUUGCAUUGAUCUUGAGUCAUCCAUAAGUCAUUUGCUUGAGGAGCUGAAGAAGCAGGAAGUUUACGGAUAUGAAGCCUGUAUUUCUGCUCAAGAACAAAACAUAAUCAGUACUAUACUACAUAUUAUUUCUUCAUAGUAGAAGAACUGCACAGAAAAGAGGUUUCCGAAACCGAAUGGGAAAACAUACUUGCAAGUGACUCUUAACUUCGUCAUUGGUGAGGCCAUCCACUUGCAUAAGCUCUCUUAUCUGUUUGGGAGUGGCCACUGCAAUCCAAUCAGAGUUAGACAAUGAUAACAUAAAAAGAACUACAUUUAAGUACAUAAAAGCAACAAAAUUAUUCAAACCCAGUAUUUUAGCAUAUAAAGACACAAGCCAGUGAAUCAAUUUAACUGAAAAUCCAAAUCACUUCCUCUUCUUACAUCAGCAGAUCUCUAUAAUUUUAAUUUACACAAAAAGAUUGCAGCUUUCAGGCAAUUUCAUUGUUUUCCCCUAUAAUUCACAGAUUUCCGGGAACUACCCAAAUAUCAAUUUUUCGAGGAUCAAUUUUGUUAUAUUGCCAAAAGAAACAAAAUUUCGAUAGGCUUCUAACCUUGAGAUCCACCAAGUUGUUGAAGGGCAUCAACAAAGCGCCGGUGAAGCUCCGGCGACCAGCACCGCCUCUGUUUCUUGUAAGAAGGCUGCUGCUGCGGUUGGGGUUUAUUCUGUAUCUUCAUUUGAAUAUUGCCGUUGCUUUUUGACAUCAAAUUACCGGAACCCAAUUCAGAUACUGGAGUCAGAAUAGAGAGUCCGGUACCUUGCGAGACAACCUCCUUCUCCUCCUUCCUUCCUGUCCCUUCAAACACAGAAAGUGACUUAAACGGCAUAAUUGCCUCUCCUUUGCUUCUGUAAUUACACAACUGAAUUGGGUUCUCACAAGUCGAGCGAUCAUCUUCUUCUUCACUUCUCUGUUUAGUUUCUGAUUUUGAGUCAUGCUGCUUAGAAUCAGAGUUAAUAUCGUUAGUACUCCAAAGUUGAACAGAGCUCAUCCAGUUCUUCUUAUCACUCAUAUCAUUUCCUAUGUUUCUCCCUGUAUCUGCUCCAGAAUUCUGUACAACCACCACUGUCCCAGCUCGAUCCUCUAAUUCCCUACACUGCAUUGCCUCCUCCUUCAACCUCACAAUAGCAUCGUUCAAGAGAAGCAUGCAAAGAGGCAGCUCACGUUUAAAAGCAUCAAUCUUUCUCAUCUCCUCUUCUAAUUUCUUCACAUAAUCAUCAAGCUUUGAUAAUUUCUGAUUAUUAUCUUCAACCUUGGAAACCUCUCUAAGAUACUCACUAAUCGUUUUGGGUACAUAGACCAAGCUCAAAUCCAAGCUCAACUCCAUUUUCUUUCCUUCCUUUUUGUUUCUAUCUCUUAUUUCCUCCUAAAUUAUUGCCUAUUUUGGUUUCUAACAUUGCCCAGAUGAACAAGGAAAUGAAUAAAGAAAGAGAAGACAGCUGUCCAUAUAUAGAGAUAGAGGAAAGAAGAUAAAAUUCAGAUUCAGGGACGCGAAGAUUCGGUUCUCACAUUUCGGGUCGUCGCAUAUUUGAGUGUAACUCGG
rnacentral:misc_RNA from 1 species